UACGUAGGGUGCGAGCGUUAAUCGGAAUUACUGGGCGUAAAGCGUGCGUAGGCGGUUCGUUAAGUUCGUUGUGAAAGCCCCGGGCUCAACCUGGGAAUGGCAAUGGAAACUGGCGGGCUGGAGUAUGGCAGAGGGGGGUGGAAUUCCGCGUGUAGCAGUGAAAUGCGUUAGAGAUGCGGAGGAACACCGAUGGCGAAGGCAGCCCCCCUGGGCUAGCACUGACGCUCAGGCACGAAAGCGUGGGGAGCAAACAGG
rnacentral:rRNA from 1 species